GAUGAACGCUGGCGGCGUGCUUAACACAUGCAAGUCGAACGAAGCACCUUGAUUUGAUUCUUCGGAUGAAGAUCUUGGUGACUGAGUGGCGGACGGGUGAGUAACGCGUGGGUAACCUGCCUCAUACAGGGGGAUAACAGUUAGAAAUGACUGCUAAUACCGCAUAAGACCGCAGCACCGCAUGGUGCAGGGGUAAAAACUCCGGUGGUAUGAGAUGGACCCGCGUCUGAUUAGGUAGUUGGUGGGGUAACGGCCUAACCAAGGCGACGAUACAUAGCCGACCUGAGAGGGUGAUCGGCCACACUGGGACUGAGACACGGCCCAG
rnacentral:rRNA from 1 species